rnacentral:rRNA from 1 species
UACGUAGGGGGCGAGCGUUGUCCGGAAUGAUUGGGCGUAAAGGGCGCGUAGGCGGCCCGGUAAGUCUGGAGUGAAAGUCCUGCUUUUAAGGUGGGAAUUGCUUUGGAUACUGUCGGGCUUGAGUGCAGGAGAGGUAAGUGGAAUUCCCAGUGUAGCGGUGAAAUGCGUAGAGAUUGGGAGGAACACCAGUGGCGAAGGCGACUUACUGGACUGUAACUGACGCUGAGGCGCGAAAGUGUGGGGAGCAAAUAGGAUUAGAUACCCUAGUAGUCCACGCUGUAAACGAUGACAACUAAAUAUUGCCGCGAGGCAGUGUUGAAGCUAACGCAUUAAGUUGUCCGCCUGGGGAGUACGGUCGCAAGACUGAAACUUAAAUGAAUUGACGGGG